rnacentral:rRNA from 1 species
GCUGGCGGCAGGCCUCUCGCGUGGUGGUCCCACCUGACCCCAUGCCGAACUCAGAAGUGAAACGCCGUAGCGCCGAUGGUAGUGUGGGGUCUCCCCAUGUGAGAGUAGGGAACUGCCAGGC